UGGUGGUGUCACAAAAUCGGAGGCCACGACUGUUUACUAAAAACACAAUUCAGAGCAAUGAUGAAAAUCAUAGUAUUCUGGAUGAAAUUUGCCCGAUGCCAUUAACAUAAAAGAGGUAAUGGGAAACUGUUACUAAUUGAAAGUCUGGUUAAUAGCGGUCUUAACUAUGAGGAUCCUAAGGUAGCAAAAUCAGUUGGCCAUUAAAUGUGGUCUGGUAUCAAUAGUGUAACGAUGGUCUCACUGUCUCUACAACUUGCUCAGUGAAAUUGAAUUAUCCGUGCAGAUGCGGAUUGCCUCCAGGUGGACGGGAAGACCCUAUGCAGCUUCUACUGA
rnacentral:rRNA from 1 species